rnacentral:misc_RNA from 1 species
AAUCACUUAAGCCUCGCUUAGUGUUGGGAGUCUACCCCGGGCGCCACUCUGUGGCUACCCUGUAGUUCCUUAAAGCCAGCGGCGGAGUCGUGGUUUCCUCUGAGCUUAGUAAUUACUUUCUAGCUUUCGAGUGGCCCGCGCCCCCUGCCGUUAAACACCCAUCUUUUAAAU